GCCUGUUUGGCCAAGUGGCUAAGGCGUCUCACUCGUAUCAUGAGAAGAGCACCAGUUCGACUCUGGUAAUAGGCA